rnacentral:rRNA from 1 species
UACGAACUGUGCGAACGUUAUUCGGAAUCACUGGGCUUACAGGGUGCGUAGGCGGCCUGACAAGUAGGGUGUGAAAGCCCCCGGCUUAACCGGGGAAUGGCGCCCUAAACUGUCGGGCUGGAGUGAGAUAGGGGUGUGCGGAACUUCCGGUGGAGCGGUGAAAUGUGUUGAUAUCGGAAGGAACGCCGGUGGCGAAAGCGGAACACUGGAUCUCAACUGACGCUGAGGCACGAAAGCCAGGGGAGCGAACGGG